rfam:Triticum urartu cultivar G1812 contig684680, whole genome shotgun sequence.
GAGGUACUCCCUCCGUCCGGAAAUACUUGUCGAAGGAAUGGAUAAAAAUGAAUGUAUCUAGAACUGAAAUGCGUCUAGAUGCAUCCAUUUCUCCGACAAGUAUUUGCGGACGGAGGGAGUAUAAU